CUGUGUGGAUGGUGUUCAGCACCAAGGACAGGCAUGUACACAUGUGUGUGGAUAUUGUUCAGCACCAAGGACAGGCAUGUACACAU
rnacentral:pre_miRNA from 1 species